rnacentral:rRNA from 1 species
CCCUUAGAUGUUCUGGGCUGCAUGCGCGCUACACUGAUGCACUCAACGAGUUUACGACCUUGCCCGAUAGGGUUGGGUAAUCUUUUUAAAAUGCAUCGUGAUGGGGAUAGAUUAUUGCAAUUAUUAAUCUUCAACGAGGAAUUCCUAGUAAGCGCGAGUCAUCAGCUCGUGCUGAUUACGUCCCUGCCCUUUGUACACACCGCCCGUCGCUCCUACCGAUUGAGUGCUCAGGUGAAUAAUUCGGACUGCAGCAAUGUUUGGAUCCCGAACGUUGCAGCGGAAAGUUUAGUGAACCUUAUCACUUAGAGGAAGGAGAAGUCGUAACA